rnacentral:ncRNA from 1 species
CACCACUUGGUGAAGAUUUUGCCGUCGGGAACGGUUUAGUAGGUAUUUCUCGAAAGACCGUCAGGCGAAAAGGAG